rnacentral:rRNA from 1 species
GACGAACGCUGGCGGCGUGCUUAACACAUGCAAGUCGAGCGGUAAGGCCCUUUCGGGGGUACGACGAGCGGCGAACGGGUGAGUAACACGUGGGUGACCUGCCCUCAGCUCUGGGAUAAGCCCGGGAAACUGGGUCUAAUACCGGAUAUGACUCCAUGACGCAUGUUGUGGGGUGGAAAGCCUUGUGCGGCUGAGGAUGGGCCCGCGGCCUAUCAGCUUGUUGGUGGGGUGAUGGCCACCAAGGCGACGACGGGUAGCCGGCCUGAGAGGGCGACCGGCCACACUGGGGACUGAGACACGGCCCAGACUCCUACGGGAGGCAGCAGUGGGGAAUCUUGCGCAAUGGGCGAAAGCCUGACGCAGCGACGCCGCGUGCGGGAAGAAGGCCU